ACGGGAGGCAGCAGUGGGGGAUAUUGCACAAUGGGGGAAACCCUGAUGCAGCGACGCCGCGUGAGUGAUGAAGUAUUUCGGUAUGUAAAGCUCUAUCAGCAGGGAAGAAAAUGACGGUACCUGACUAAGAAGCUCCGGCUAAAUACGUGCCAGCAGCCGCGGUAAUACGUAUGGAGCAAGCGUUAUCCGGAUUUACUGGGUGUAAAGGGAGCGUAGACGGUGACGCAAGUCUGAAGUGAAAGGUGUGGGCUCAACCCGCAAACUGCUUUGGAAACUGUGUGACUAGAGUGUCGGGGAGGUAAGUGGAAUUCCUAGUGUAGCGGUGAAAUGCGUAGAUAUUAGGAGGAACACCAGUGGCGAAGGCGGCUUACUGGACGAUAACUGACGUUGAGGCUCGAAAGCGUGGGGAGCAAACAGGAUUAGAUACCCUGGUA
rnacentral:rRNA from 1 species